CCCUAGCCCCGAUAGUAGUGGAAAUCCUUUUUCUGGCUUCUUUAGCCAGGAAAAGAUUGAAACGGAUAGCGGGAUUAGCU
rnacentral:sRNA from 2 species